AUGGCUUUCUUGGUGGCUGGGAUGCUGCAGGUGGCCUCGCAGGUGGCUGAUGCUCGGGAGAGCCUGGGAAGAAAGGGUAAGUACAGCGUGAAGGGCCCAAGGGUGGCCCUGGCCCUCUGCAGCCCUGAGGUGUCAGCCUCUACGGUCGCUCUCCUGGAGGGCGUGUUCCAGACCCUGGGCUUUGAGAGCUGCCAGAGGCAGGAGUCCUCCAUCCAGGGCUUCCGUUGGGAGCUGACGAGGUUCCGGGAGCGGCUGGAUGCCCAUGGGGGCCCGGUGGGCUGUGCUUUUGUGGCCUUGGUGGCCCCCCGCCGGCAGCUGAGGCAGUCGCAGCAGUUGUUCCGGGAGCUGAGCCGCUGCAAGGCCCUGUGGGGCCGCCCCAAGGUCUUCCUGCUGCUCUCCAGUGCUCCCGGGGCUGUCCCUGAGCCUGGGGCCUUCCUCGCCAGCCUGGGCGAGCUCUGCGGCCGCCAUCCUCACUGGUCACUGCUGCAGCUGCUAACAGAGGUCUUCUCCAGGACAGCUCAAGAGUCGGCAGGGGCUGCCUACUGCCCGGUGCUUCGGAGCUCCUUGCGGGGGGCACUGUGCCUAGGGAAUGAGGAGCCCUGGGGGCCUGAGGUGAGGGGGCAGGGCGGGGGUCCAACCACAUGGCAGCAGUUUUGA
rnacentral:lncRNA from 1 species